rnacentral:rRNA from 1 species
AUUGAACGCUGGCGGCAGGCUUAACACAUGCAAGUCGAGCGGAGAUGAGGUGCUUGCACCUUAUCUUAGCGGCGGGCGGGUGAGUAAUGCUUAGGAAUCUGCCUAUUAGUGGGGGACAACAUUCCGAAAGGAAUGCUAAUACCGCAUACGUCCUACGGGAGAAAGCAGGGGAUCUUCGGACCUUGCGCUAAUAGAUGAGCCUAAGUCGGAUUAGCUAGUUGGUGGGGUAAAGGCCUACCAAGGCGACGAUCUGUAGCGGGUCUGAGAGGAUGAUCCGCCACACUGGGACUGAGACACGGCCCAGACUCCUACGGGAGGCAGCAGUGGGGAAUAUUCGACAAUGGGGGGAACCCUGAUCUAGCCAUGCCGCGUGUGUGAAGAAGGCCUUAUGGUUGUAAAGCACUUUAAGCGAGGAGGAGGCUACUGAGACUGAUACUCUUGGAUAGUGGACGUUACUCGCAGAAUAAGCACCGGCUAACUCUGUGCCAGCCGCCGCAGUAACAC